rnacentral:rRNA from 1 species
CAGCAGCCGCGGUAAUACGAGUGCCCCAAGCGUUACCCGGAUUUAUUGGGCGUAAAGCGUGUGUAGGCGGUUUAUUAAGUCAAUGGUUAAAUCCCUCGGCUCAACUGAGGACCAGCCAUUGAAACUGGUAAACUAGAGUAUGGAAGAGGCAAACGGAAUUGCUGGUGUAGGGGUCAAAUCCGUUAAUAUCAGCAGGAACACCAAAUGCGAAGGCAGUUUGCUAGGACAUUACUGACGCUAAAACACGAAAGCGUGGGGAGCGAAGCGGAUUAGAUACCCGCGUAGUCCACGCCGUAAACGAUGGAUACUAGACAUUGGGGGUAUCGACCCCUUCAGUGUCGUUCAAAAAAGCUAACGCGUUAAGUAUCCCGCCUGGGGAGUACGGCCGCAAGGCUAAAACUCAAAGGAAUUGACGGGGACUCGCACAAGCGGUGGAGCACGUGGUUUAAUUCGAUAGUAAGCGGAGAACCUUACCAGGGGUUGACAUAUAGCUGCAAGCCUUAAGAAAUUAAGGCCCCCUUCGAGGGUGCUAUACAGGUGCUGCAUGGUUGUCGUCAGCUCGUGCCGUGAGGUGUACGGUUAAGUCCGAUAACGAGCGCAACCCUCAUCCUAAUUUAUACUUUAUUAGGAAACUGCCUUGGAUAACAAGGAGGAAGGUGGGGAUGACGUCAAAUCAGCAUGGCUCUUACAUCCUGGGCAACACACAUGCUACAAUGGCUAGUACAAAGGGUCGCCAAAUCGUAAGACGGAGCUAAUCCUAUAAAAGCUAGUCUCAGUUCGGAUUGAGGUCUGCAACUCGACCUCAUGAAGCUGGAAUCGCUAGUAACCGUGGAUCAGAACGCCACGGUGAAUACGUUCUCGAGUCUUGUACACACCGCCCGUCAUGUCAAGAGAGUCGGUAAUGCCCGAAUGUCGUUGUAGUACGGCAGAAGGUAGGAUCGGCAAUAGGGGCAAAGUCGUAACAAGGUACCGUA